rnacentral:rRNA from 1 species
GACGAACGCUGGCGGCGUGCUUAACACAUGCAAGUCGAACGGAAAGGCCCUGCUUUUGUGGGGUGCUCGAGUGGAGAACGGGUGAGUAACACGUGAGUAACCUGCCCUUGACUUUGGGAUAACUUCAGGAAACUGGGGCUAAUAGCGGAUAGGAGCUCCUGCUGCAUGGUGGGGGUUGGAAAGUUUCGGCGGUUGGGGAUGGACUCGCGGCUUAUCAGCUUGUGGGUGGGGGAGUGGCUAACCAAGGCUUGGACGGGUAGCCGGCCUGAGAGGGUGACCGGCCACAUUGGGAUUGAGAAACGGCCCGGCCUCCUACGGGGGCCAGCGGUGGGGAAUAUUGACCAAUGGGCGGAGCCCUGUUGCAGCACCGCCGGGUGCGGGAUGAGGGCCUUGGGGUUGUAAACCGCUUCCCCCGGUGACGAAGCGUGAGUGACGGUAACGGGUGAAGAAGCACCGGCUAACUACGUG